rnacentral:misc_RNA from 1 species
UGUCGAGUGUGCCGCCGUGGGCGAUCGGGCCGUCGUUGGUGAUGGUCGGAGUGAUGAUGAUGAAGGUGGUUAAGGAGGUAGAUUGGGGAAAUGUGAAGGAAGCGGCGCCGGCUUUUGUAACGAUGAUUUUGAUGCCGUUAACGUAUUCGAUAGCGAACGGGAUUGUGGGUGGGAUCGGAGUGUACGUCGCUCUGAGUCUAUACGACAACG